CCCAUUCAGUCGCCACUGGAGACAACACAACCCCUCGCCCACGCUUCCCCUUCGAGAAUGCCCGCCCCUGUGCAGAACCCCUUCAAGAGCCGCCCGGUAGCCAGCCAGUCCCGUUCCCGCGGCGCGCUACCGAGAGAAGGGGCGGAUUCUCCUACCAGUGGAAGACGUCUGAUUUUUUGAUUGGCUAGGCAGGACGUGCGUUAGGACGUGUUGCGCUUUUGGUGUGCACUCGGAGCGUGGGCGACCCUGUGGGGGUGUGUGGCAGGGGGUCUCCAGACCCGAGACCAACACACCAGCCCCUUCCAUCAGGGGUUCGGCUUAGCGUCGCCCCUGGCGGGCGGCUCUCGAAUUUUGAAAGACAGCACGCGAACCCGGACCCUCCCGGGGCUGCGGAGGUCGGCAGGAAGAUGGAGGCAGCGUCGGUCUCUGAGACUUCGGCUUCUCAGUUCUCGAACAUCUUAGCAGAACCAUCAAAGUCUAAUGGAAGUAUGGUUCACGAUUCCUCAUCUCCAUAUGUAAUACAUCCACCUGAUAGGCCUUUCCUUAAUAGUGAUCUGCAACGUUCCCCAAAUAAGCCUACAUUUGCCUAUCCAGAAAGCAACAGCAGAGGCAUCAUCAUCCACCUGAUCAUCAAGACUAUGUUACUUUGAGUCAUCUAGGACUGCUCUGUCACUUCCAGCAUCACUCAGGAGCCAAGACUUGUGUUUUGCUUCUGAAAUAUCCCCAAAACUUACAGGUUUUCUCUGUUUCUUCAUUCUCAUUGGUUUGGUUCAGGUUCUCAUCAUCUAUUGCAUAGUUAACUGCAAUACACUUUUAACUAAUUUCCCUGCCCUUGGUCUCCCUCUCAUCCCCAGUUAACAGCAUUGCUGCCAUUUGCUGUUACUCAGCGUCUCUCCCACUGUGAAGAAAAGCUUCAGCACCUCUCCAUGGCUUAACUAAUGAAGUCUUAGAUUUUUUAUAACUUAGGCUCUACCUGCUUUAUCAGCUUUAUCCCUAGCCACCCUUCCAUUCUUCCUUCCCCACACAUCCUUUGCUUUGGCUGCUUUGAAAUACAGUUGUUCCUGAAACUUGCCAUCUGUAUUCGUUUUCUUGCUGCCUUAACAAAUUAUGACAAACUGAGCAGUCUUAAAUAACCAAAAUGUAUUAUCUGAGAGUUUCUGUAGGACUAGCAGGGUGCUCUAUUUAGGCUCCUGAAAUCACGGUGUUGACUGGACUGUGUUCCUCACUGGAGAGUCUAGGGAAGAACCUGUUGCUAGCUCAUUCAGAUUCUUGGCCAGAUUCUGUUCCUUGUGGUUGAAGAACUGAGGUUCCAUUGUCUUGCCGACCUUCAGUCAGCACCAGUCUUUGCUUCUAGAAUCUGUCUGCAUUCUCGUGCUUUUCUUAUGGUCCCCUACAGGAAUGGUGGGUCAUGUCUCUCUCAUGCUUCCAAUUUCUCUGACUUCUCCCUCUGCUUCUUUCUAAUUACAGCCAGAGAAAAUUGUCAGCUUUUAAGGGUUCAUGUAUUUUAGUUAGAUUGAGCCCAGUCAAAUAAUCAGAUAUAAUUUCCCUAUCUGUAAGGUCCAUAGCUUUAAGUACAUCUCCCAAAGUCCUUUUUACCAUAUAACAGGUAUUCAGAGAUUCUAGGAUUAGGACAUAGGCAUCUUUGAGUGUCUGUUUUGCCUACCACACCAGCCACGGUGAAAAUUAUACUCUUUUCUCUAAAGCCUGGAUUGUGUAUUAUUUCUUCAUGGAAGUCUUCUUCUCUACCAGCUUCCUCAACACAUACCUCUCUCUGCUGUCUUCAGAUGUCUCUUCUGAACUCUCUUGGCCCUUUGGUCAUACCUCAUAGCCUUUACUUUUUUGUCUGGGGCGAGGGGUGGUGGUUUCUGUGUCUAUCCAUCCUAUACUGAACGUAGGUAUCAUUGGAUUGAUACCAGAAACACUGUAGAAGUAUAAUGGAUCAUAAUGAUUAUCUUGGGGCAUUGCUACCCAGUUCAUAACACCAUGUUCUGAAGAAUAAAAGAAGCUUAUUUACUGUCUUCCAAAUUAUGUUUUCUCAUUUACUUUCUUCUUCCUCUCCUUUUUUCUGCCCUUUCUCUCUCAUUUUCCUGAAAACAACUAAUUACUCACAGGCAGAAUUUAGCUUUAUUGCUAACACACUAGGUUAAAUACUUGCUAACCUUUGCUCUGUGAAUAAAUCUGCCCCAUUUAAUUUUUCUUUUUCAUGGAUUCUUUAGUAAUUUGCUUUUCUCUGAACUUAAAAAAAAGUUUCUUUAGAUCUAUGUAUAGAUCAACGUAAAGAUCAAAACCAGAUGAAAUAUCGUGAUGGGAUUAGUAUCUAAUUCUCAGACCUUAUGUUCCUGCUAGAACUCUUGCAUGUUUUUGUGUGUGCUUAUUUUUUUAAAAGGAAUUAUUACUAAAAUUUAACUGAUUUUUGCUCCACUGUGGGCUUCAGUUAUUUGUGUUUUGCUUUUUUAACCUAUGUUGUUUGAAGGUUACACAACUUUGGUUAUUUUUCUAAAUUGCCAGUCUUUAGCUGUUGUAUUCUGAUGAGUAGCACUUUAUCAAUUGUUUUAUUAACUGUUAAAUUAAUUAGUAUUUUCUUUAUCAUCAUCUUUGAGAUACAGUAUCUUAUGGAUAAGAUGUUUCUAGUUAGUAAAUUGAGUAUCACCUAUUGAAAUUCUUAAAAGACACUUAAAAGAAAUUCUUAAA